rnacentral:rRNA from 1 species
GACGAACCGUACGAACGUUAUUCGGAAUCACUGGGCUUAAAGGGUGCGUAGGCGGCGCUGAAAGUUGGGUGUGAAAUCCCUCGGCUCAACCGAGGAACUGCAUUCAAAACUACAGUGCUUGAGGGAGAUAGAGGUGAGCGGAACUUAGGGUGGAGCGGUGAAAUGCGUUGAUAUCCUAAGGAACACCCGUGGCGAAAGCGGCUCACUGGGUCUCUUCUGACGCUGAGGCACGAAAGCUAGGGAGCGAACGGG